GGAGAGUCCCACGUCGGCUCCUAUGCUGCACAAACCAAGUUUAUGCAGUUUUCUCCUGUUGUUUGUUUGUUUGUUUGUUUUUCCCUGGGGUAUUGCAUCCUCCCCUGUCCCAGGGUCCAUGCUGAGCUAGAGGGAACUGCGCGCAGCCAGCACCGGGGGGGCAUAAGGGGAGCCCCCAAGGUAUCUCCCACCCAGGGCACAGAGCUUCAGUGGGGCAGUGGGAAAAGGGCAUGGGGGUACGGCUUGGGUACGGCUCCCCGGUGGCUGUCCCAGAGCGAGGCACCACCAGUGAUGGCUCGUGUGGGAUGUGGGGCUUGGGAAGGUGAUGGGAGCUCUGGGGGUCCCAUGGGAUCGCGCCUGGGAACGUGGUGCUGUUGCUGUUGCUGCUGCUGGUGGCCCUGACCUAGAGAUGGGAUGGCCGGGAGCCAGGCGGUGGCCGGGACAGGGUGGGGCGAUACGUUUGCCAGCACGCAGCUUUUCAGUCACCGGGCUGAAACUGAAAGGAGCCACUGAGCUGGGCACUAGCUGUACGGCGGAGCUCCGGUGGACACGGUGCCGCCAUGGAGCUGGGGAACAUCUCGCAGCCCGUGUACGGCCCUGGCCUCGAGGAGCCGAGCAGUAGCACGCUGGGGCUGGUCCGCAUGGCGCACGGCUUCCUGAGGCUGGUGCAGCCCCACGGUUUCCCUCUGGAGCUGGUAGCGCAUCUGGUGCAGACACAGGGUGAGGCGGUGUCCAAGGAGCACAAGGAGGAGCUGCAGCGUUACGAGCUGGGCUUCCUGGUGUGCGUGGCCAUCGGGCUGCUCUUCGCCGUCCUGGUGCCGCUGGUGGGAUGCUGCUUCUGCUGCUGCCGCUGCUGCGGGCGCUGCGGGGGCCGCAUGUCCCAGAAGCAGGACCGGUGGACACGCAGCCGGCGCCGGGUGCUGUACAGCGCGGUGCUGCUGGUGUCGGCGCUCCUGCUGGCCGGCGAUGUGUGCGCCUUCAUCAGCAACACCCGCUUCUCGCAAUCCGUGAGCGGCGCCUUCCCCAACAUCAACAGCACCGUGCAUGACCUCCGCUCCUACCUGCUCUCCAUCCCCCAGCAAGUCAGCUUUGUCAUCAACAGCAGCAACGUCCCAUUGGGCAACACCAAUGACAGCCUACAGAACAUCGGGUCCCUCCUGGGCGGCAGGAUCGUCUCCAGCAUCAGGAGCAGCACUGACGAGGCGCUGGGAUCCCUGCAGAGCCUUCUGAGAGCGAUGGAGAUGCUGGCGGCCACCUUUCGCACCAUCAACAGCACUCGCCAGCGCCUGGAGGAGCUGCAGGGCACCUACGAUGGGCAGCUAGGCACGCUGCGGGCACACAUCAAGGGCACCCUGCAGCGCUGUGGGCAGCCCUGCCACACCGCCUCGCCCAGUGGUGUGGCCUUUGGGGCCAACUACAGCACGGUGCCCGACGUGGAGCGGCAGCUGGAGGCGCUGCGGGAUGUGCUGGACAGUGGCAUAGAGGGGGAUUUGGAGGUGAUCAGCAUGCUAAAGCAGGCCCCCAGCAAGGUGCAAGAGCAGUCCCAGGACGUGGUGACACGGACACAGGAGCAGCUGGGGCACAUCAGGCAGGAGAUCCGCAGCCUGCAGGACCAGCUGCCGCUGCAGGACAUGGAGGAGAGAGCCGGGAACUUGGUAAACCAAACCAGUGCCGUGCUGUUGGACCACCAGAAGAAGGUCACCGACCUGGAUGGGAUCAGGUGGAGCGUGUGCGCCCUGCUGUGCUGCAUGGUGCUGCUGGUGGUCCUGUGCAACACCUGUGGGCUGCUGCUGGGGCCGCUGGGGCACAAGGAGAGCACGCUGCCCACACAGCGCGGCUGCCUCUCCAACACUGGAGGGAACUUCUUCAUGGCAGGAGUGGGCUUCAGCUUCAUCUUCUCCUGGCUGCUGAUGCUGCUGGUGCUGCUCAUCUUCUUCCUGGGGGGCAACACCUACAUGCUGGUCUGCGAGUCCUGGCGCAGCCAGCAGCUCUUCCAGCUCGUGGAUACCCCCGGCCUCAUCCCUGGCUUCAACCUGUCGGAAGUGCUGGGCGAUGAGAGCGGCACCGUCACAUUCUCGCGGAUCUACAGGCAGUGCCAGCAGGAUGCUGCCCUAUGGCAGACGCUGCAGCUGGACCAGAGGGUGUCCUUGGAUGAGCUCCUGAACAUCAGCCAGUACACGGGGGAGAUCUCAGCAGCUUUCCAGAAACUGAACGUCAUCCUGACCCCCAUCUCCGUGCUGAACGAGAGCCAGCGGGAGCUGCUGCUGAACGCCUGCCGUGAUGCGCAGCCCCCCAACUUCACCCUCACCCUACAGCAGCUGGAUCAGGGUGUCACGGCGGGCAGCCUACGGGAACUGGCCGUGGAGCUGGAGCAGCUGGUGCACCAUGCGGGUGCAGAUGUGCAGAGGGACCUGAAAGCACAUGCUGCUAAACUGCUGGAGCUGGACAGGGAGCUGGACGCCAACUUCUCGGGGCCACUGGAAACCCUGAAGGAGAACAUCCAGCUGGUGCAGAGCCAGGCUGCCCAGCUCGAGGCACAGACAAACUCUACGUUGGACAAAGCCAGCGCCACAGAGGAGUUCCUGGGGCGGGAGAUGGGGAACAUCAUCAAGAAUGAGACGUGGGCCUUUCUGGAGGAGCUGCUGGGCUUCUUUGAGACCUACAUCACCUGGGCCAAGAGCAGUCUGAGGAGGGAUGUGGCACGCUGCAAGCCCAUAGCCCAGAGCCUGGAUAAUGUGGAGGCCAUCGCCUGUGACCACAUCCUGGACUCCAUGAAUGCCUUCUGGUUCAGCCUGGGCUGGUGCACCGUCUUCCUGCUGCCCAGCAUCAUCUUGGCCGUGCGACUCGCCAAGUUCUACCGCCGCAUGGACAUCAGCGAUGACUACAGGAAUGAAGCUGUGGAGAUGUAAGUAGCAGUGCUGGGUCCCUACCUGGGGUAAAUCCGGGGACACAAGGGACAAGGAGAGGAACCCAGAAAGCACAAGCUGAGAUGGGUGCAGGCAGCAGGAGGACCCGCAUUCAACCUGUACAAAAUCCCCCGGCCAGCUACAAGGCAUUAGGCUCCAUCACCAUGGCACAGGCACUGAGGACACUGAACAUGACCGCUCGCUCUGCUGCGUCUUCUCCCUUAGCCCUGGGAGCCUCCUCCCCACUUCCUAAUAAGUGGUGAUGUGCUGCAGCUGUGCAGCAGCCUGCAGGAGAACGGAGUGCACCCUUUGCACUGCCCAACGUGGGGCUUUACUACCCCCCAUCACCCGGGGCUGGUGGCAGGGAAGAGGAGAAGGUAGCAGAGCCUCUCCCCCAUGGCUCAUCCCAGCCAUGCCCCGGGGUCAGGAACCCCCAGUAUGCGUGCAGCCAGAUGCUGCUGGCUGAGGGGACCCUGCUUACCCAAGCCCCUCACGUAUUUAUUUGUGCAGGGAGCCUGACUCUCCAAUGCUGUGAUUUGGGGUGUAACACAAUAAAUGAGGUGAUUGCGUGUUGCAGGUA